rnacentral:rRNA from 1 species
UGAAGAGGACGAUCAGCCACACUGGGAUUGAGAACGGCCCAGACUCCUACGGGGGGCAGCAGUGAGGAAUUUUCCGCAAUGGUCGCAAGACUGACGGAGCAACGCCGCGUGCAGGAGGACGCUUUUCGGAGUGUAAACUGCUUUUCUGUGGGAAGAGGAUGGACGGUACCACAGGAAGAAGCCCCGGCUAACUACGUGCCAGCAGCCGCGGUAAUACGUAGGGGGCGAGCGUUGUCCGGAGUUACUGGGCGUAAAGGGCACGCAGGCGGUGCGGCGCGUUUCGCGUGACAGCGGAGGGCUUACCUCUCCGAGGAUGCGAAAGACGGCAGCACUUGAGGGCCAGAGAGGGACACGGAAUUCCGGGUGGAGUGGUGAAAUGCGUAGAGAUCCGGAGGAACACCGAAGGCGAAGGCAGUGUCCUGGCUGGUGACUGACGCUGAGGUGCGAAAGCUAGGGGAGCGAACGGGAUUAGAUACCCCGGUAGUCCUAGCCGUAAACGAUGACCACCAGGUGUGGGAGGUAUCGACCCCUUCCGUGCCGGAGUUAACACACUAAGUGGUCCGCCUGGGGAGUACGGUCGCAAGAUUAAAACUCAAAGGAAUUGACG